rnacentral:lncRNA from 1 species
CCUCAUGCUUCAAAAUAGUUUCUAUCUUUAAUUUUUUUCUCCAUCCCUUGUUCUCUCUCAAAAGCUUAAAUAAAUUUUCAUUUUCUUUGGUUGGAGGAGAUUAGGAAUCCUAGGCUUUUUGAGAUUGUGGUGAAAUCGUUUAGGAAUUCUUGGGUUCAGGUAUUGGUGUUGGAGUCGUGUGCGUGGUUCAGUACCGAUGGGCUUCAUGUUGUUGCAAACGGCAAGAAAGAGAUCCCAGAUGGAGCAGUGGAGAUACACAAUCAUGGAGAACUAACCUCGUGAAAGAAUGAAACUGAUUUCAAGUAGCAUUGGUUAUUGUUCAGAUUUCAUUUAUAAUAUUAGGUGUACCUCUGGUACGUCCUCUCCUGAUGGUAUGGAUGGAUUUCAAGCUCAAUAGAUCUGUAUCAUAAAUUACGAGUUAAUCAAUUAUGUUUUAUUUUAGGGCCCUUGGGUUUCAAAUGACCAGGGAGGUAACUUUUAUAAGAAGGCUUGUGUAAGAAUCAGGGUAAUCCGGUUAUUUUAUCUCAGGUAGUCAAAAUCACUUAUUUACUCUGUUUUGUAGAAUCAGUAAAUGAUAGAUGUGCAAGUGGUGUCAAACAGGUUGCAUGGAGAUGCCCACAAUUUGUUGUCCUAUUUAUUUUUAAAUUUGUAGCUAAUUAGUGCAAGUACCAAGUACUAUUGCACAAAAAAUGAAGAUAACUUGUAAGUAUCCAUUUCCAGUUUACUAGUGGUUAUAAAAUCAACCAGCCCUUUUUAG